CCGAGGAAGAAGUCGGUGACGAGGUCCGUCAAGGCCGGGCUGCAGUUUCCCGUCGGCCGCAUCGGGCGGUACCUGAAGAAGGGCCGGUACGCGCAGCGCGUCGGCACGGGCGCCCCCGUCUACCUGGCCGCCGUCCUCGAGUACCUGGCCGCCGAGGUGCUGGAGCUGGCCGGCAACGCUGCCAAGGACAACAAGAAGACCCGCAUCAUCCCGCGCCACGUGCUCCUUGCCAUCCGCAACGACGAGGAGCUCGGCAAGCUGCUGUCCG
rnacentral:lncRNA from 1 species